AGGAGAGUUUGAUCCUGGCUCAGGAUGAACGCUGGCGGCGUGCCUAACACAUUCAAGUCGAACGGACUGAUUUGGUAGUAAUACUGAUGAAAGUUAGUGGCGGACGGGUGAGUAACGCGUGAGCAACUUGCCCGCAUCAGGGGCAUAAUCGGUGGAAACGCCGUCUAACUCCCCAUAACAUAGAGGGUGGCAUCUCCUUCUAUUGAAAUCCUUGGAGGAUGCGGAUGGGCUCGCGUGACAUUAGGCAGUUGGCGGGGUAACGGCCCACCAAACCGACGAUGUCUAGGGGAACUGAGAGGUUAAUCCCCCACACUGGAACUGAGACACGGUCCAGACUCCUACGGGAGGCAGCAGUGAGGAAUAUUGGACAAUGGAGGGAACUCUGAUCCAGCCAUGCCGCGUGCAGGAUAAGGUCCUAUGGAUUGUAAACUGCUUUUGUAUGAGAGCAAUAAGGAUUACGUGUAAUCCGAUGAGAGUAUCAUACGAAUAAGCAUCGGCUAACUCCGUGCCAGCAGCCGCGGUAAUACGGAGGAUGCGAGCGUUAUCCGGAUUUAUUGGGUUUAAAGGGUGCGUAGGCGGCCAUGUAAGUCAGCGGUGAAAUUCAGAUGCUCAACAUCUGCCGUGCCGUUGAAACUGCGUGGCUAGAAUGCGGAUGCCGUGGGAGGAAUGUGUGGUGUAGCGGUGAAAUGCAUAGAUAUCACACAGAACACCGAUUGCGAAGGCAUCUCACGAAUCCGCGAUUGACGCUGAGGCACGAAAGUGCGGGGAUCAAACAGGAUUAGAUACCCUGGUAGUCCCCU
rnacentral:rRNA from 1 species